rnacentral:rRNA from 1 species
AUGGGUGGCAACAUGAUCUUGGGAUUGGCCCGGCCCCGCUUUAGAUUCGGCUUCUCACAUGGCUUCUCGCUUCAGGUGAUGACAUGGAAAGCGUUCGGCAACGUUGGGGCCCCACUCGGAGGGAUUGGCAGGCCAGGUUGGGGCCCAAAAAUAAACCUAGCCCCUCACCUCGCUCGUCUCUCUCUCCAAUCCCCUCGACCCCUCCUCCUGUGCGCCGCCACCCAUAGGCGCGGGCGCCUCAGGCUCCCGUCUGCCCUCCUCCUCCCUGACUCCCAUGCCAGCCAUGACCUCUCGACGGAGGUCCGCAUCCGCCGCGUCCGCUUCUGGUCCAUCACCGAGGAUGGCUCCUCCGUCUCCUCCUUCCACUUCGAGGGGGAGGGUGGCUCCCCUCGCUCGCCGCCUCGUGGGCCUCGAUCCUCCGGGAUGGACGACAUCGACACGCUCGGUCUGCCGGCUUCGACUCCCUCUCCAUCGAGCCCCGCCCAGCUGCGCCUGCCCCCCUCGACGACUUCCCCGGCGCGCCGCAGAGCGCGUCCAUGGCUGCUUUUCGCCGCGCUCUGGGUCGCCGCAUGGCGGGGUUGCUCUCCGAGCCCUUCCCGCCACGCUGGCCAUGCUGCUUCCCCCCCGGUUAUGCUCCCGUCCGAGCUGGCGGACGAGGACCAUGAGCAUGCCGCCAUGAAGCGGUGUGGCCGCCGCAAGCGCGCGGUGGACGUCGACCACACCGGACGCCGCAGCUCCCGCCUUGCCGGGAAGGAGCCGUCGGGGUACGUCAAGAUGCUUGACCGGGCCAAGGCGGCGAAGGCGGCGCGCUUCGACUCCUCCAAGGGCUCCCCCCGCCUCCGUGCUGCCGUGCGAGCUGCCGGCAUCGGUGUCGACGACGGCGCGCCGGCCCCUCUCUCUCUCCGCCAGCUCCGGGCUCUCGGGGAGCCGUGUGGCGUCGACCUGGACGCGCUGGCUGCUGGGGCUCGCGCUGAGAUGGCUUAUGAUCGCCAGGAGUGGUUCGGUGCUCCUGUCCGUGGGCCUUGCAUGGCUGCCGGAGCACCUUAUCUUUUUGCCUUUUCUCUUUUCCCCCCGUGGGUUUUCUUCCUGUUGCUUACCCAAUCCCCCAUGACUAGGUUGUUUUCGAUGUGUACCUGGAAUGUCCGUGGACUCGGCGAGGCAUGCAAGUGCCGUGAUGUCCGUGCUAAUUUCGAGGUCAUGCAACCCUCCUUUGUUGCGAUCCAAGAAACCAAACUUGAGCGCCCCCUACUGCUAAAACGGAAAUAUGUUUUCUCCCUUUCUCACCACGUUGCCACCUCUCACGCCCUCUCCGUGGACCUCUCUCUUUGCCAAGAUGGCUCUCCCCUUCGGAUCACCAACGUGUAUGCCCCCUGCGUCCACAGUGCCAAAGAAGCCUUUCUCGCCGAGCUGGCCGGCCACGCUCCCCCUUCCCCCGUCCCUUGGGCUAUCUUAGGUGACUUUAAUCUCAUUAGGUCGCCUGAAGACCGUAGCAACGAUAACUUCUCCCGCUCUGAGGCCAAAUGGUUCAAUGACUUCAUUAAUGAUCUCGCGCUCAUCGACCUUCCUCUCCGGGACCGUCGGUUUACGUGGUCUAGCCGUCAAACCUCCCCGAUUCUUGCUCGCCUCGACCGGGUUCUCAUUAACACUACCUGGGAUAGUGCUUUCCCCACCUCCAUGCUUUCCUCGUUUACACGCUCCACCUCUGACCAUGUCCCCCUGCUUGCAUCCAUCUCCUCGGCGGCCCCCAAGACACGCAUUUUUCGGUUCGAGAAAUCUUGGGCGCUUCAUCUGUCCUUUCGUCACUCCAUCCGCUCUGCUUGGUUAUCCGCGUUUCGGGCUGACGCAGGUGCUCGCCUUGUGGCUAGGCUUCGUCAGUGCCGCCUCAGCUGUAAACGCUGGGCUAGGAGAGUUGCACCGGCUGCUCAGCGCGAGAGCGACUGUCGCAUGCUUAUUGACAUCCUCGAUCGUAUUAAGGAGAGCCGCCAUCUCUCUUCCCUAGAGGCCCUUCUUCGUACCCUCACCGUCGAAGCUCUGCAUGUCUCUGUUAAGGAGCGUGUCACCUAUUGGAAACUUAGGGCAAAAUUCCGCUAUGCCAUUGACGGUGAUGAAAAUACGAGAUUUUUUCAUGCAUCUGCUUCCGCUCGCUUUCGUAGGAACUACAUCCCUGUCCUCUCCCUCGACGGGCGCGAAGUCUCUUCCCAUGAGGACAAGGCGCUCGCCCUCCGGGAUUACUACAAAUCCCUUCUCGGCACCACGACCCCCUGUGCCUGGACUUUCUCUGUUUCCGGCUUGUACCCCGACGCAACCCCUCUUCCAGCCUCCCUCUCGGUCCCCUUCACCGCAGACGAGAUUCGAAACACCUUUUUUGACAUGAACCGCCUGUCAAGCCCCGGCCCUGACGGUUUUGGCCCGUCUUUCUACGUCUCCUUUUGGGAUAUCCUUUCUGCCGAUGUGCAGGCAGUUUUCCAUGACUUCUUUGCCGGAACUAUCGACCUCACUAGGAUCAACCGUGCCUUCCUGGUUCUCCUUCCUAAAACGGAGGCGGCUCGCUCCCCCUCAGAUUUCCGGCCCAUCUCGCUGCAAAACUGCAUCAUGAAAUCCAUCACGAGAGCCCUCUGCACUCGCCUUCAGCGGCACAUCCACUCCUUGGUGGACCCCGACCAGACGGGUUUCCUUCCCAGAAGGCGCAUCUCUGAGAACAUCGUGUACGCUGCGGACCUCCUCCGUGCCUGCCAUGUGCGUAAGGUCCCCACUGUAGUGUUUAAAAUCGACUUCCGCAAAGCCUUUGACUCUGUCAACUGGUCAAGCCUUCUCCCGAUCUUGUCUGCGCGCGGGUUUGACGAACGUUGGUGCGGAUGGAUCCAUGCCAUCCUCUCAACCAGGCACACGUCGGUUCUCCUUAAUAAUGUUCCCGGGGACUGGAUCCUUUGCCGCAACGGCCUCCGCCAAGGCGACGCCCUAUCUCCUUAUCUCUUUAUCAUUGUGGCCGAUGUCCUUCAGCGCCUGAUCAGGACGGCCAGCGCUACCGGGCAGCUGGCGCACCCAAUCGACGACUCCCUCCCUUGCCCUGUCCUGCAAUAUGCAGAUGAUACCCUUAUCCUUUGUCGCGCCGACAUUCCCUCCGUCACCCUUCUCAAAAAAACUCUCGAUGCCUUUGCCCUCGCGACCGGGCUUGCUAUUAAUUUCCAUAAGUCUGGGUUCAUUCCCAUGCAUUGCGCCCCCGAGCUGUCAACAGAAAUGGCUUCGAUCCUCGGAUGCCCUAUCUCCACCUUUCCCCAACCCUACCUCGGUCUCCCUCUCUCCCCUCUCAAACUCCCCAUCUCUGCUUACGACCCCCUCAUAAGGUCUUUUGACCGCUAUUUGUCCGGUGGCGCGCUCUUCUCCUUUCCUCAGGUGGAAGGUGGGCUCGGCAUGCGCGACCUCCGGCGGCAAAAUAUGUGCCUUCUUCUCAACUUUGUGGAUGCUCUUCAUCGGCCCGGCUCCCCGCCCUGGAAGCUCUGGUUCCUCCGUCAGCUCAGGGGCGACGUUGGGGACCCCUGCUCGGCGCCUUCAUUCCUCCAGACGAUCAUCCAGGCGGCGCUCCCGACCUACAGAUCCAUCACCCGGGUGCACCUUGGUGAUGGGCGCACUACCUCUUUCUGGCAGGAUCGGUGGCUCACAGGCGGUGCGCUCUGUUUCACCUACGAGGCGCUUUUCUCCCACUCGACGCGGCCCAAUGCUUCCGUCGCUGCGGUCAUGGAGGACGGCCUCGCGCUUCAGCCGAGGCUUUCUGCGGUGGCGGGCGCUCAGCUUGCCGACGUGCACGCUCUCCUGCGGGGUGUUCGCCUACUGGGAGUGCACGACCGUCGCCUCAUGGCGUGGGGCGACGAUGUUGCUUUCAGCUCGCGGGCUGCUUUCCGCGUCCUGUCGCCUCACGGCGUUCUGGACCAGGUCUCCAUCGACAUUUGGGGCUCCCGGCUCCCUAGCAAAAUCAAGAUUUUUGCUCGGCUCCUGGUUGGUGAUCGGCUUAGCACCCGGGCUAACCUGUACGCCAAAAACUGCGCUCCUUCAUCUUCGUGUGCAUCCUGCCAGGCGGAGGAGACGACGGACCAUCUCUUCGCGGCCUGUCCUCGUGUGGCGCCGGUCUGGGCCGGUCUCGGCCUGGGCCCCUUUCUCUCCGUUGGGGAGAUUCUCUCCACAACGCCCGCGGCGCAGGUCGACAGUGCUGCCUGGCCGGAUGGCCUCUUCAUUCUGCUCUGGAAUGUGUGGAAAGCCAGGAACAAUGUGGUCUUCAACUCCAUCAGUUGCGGGGCUGGCGACGUGCUCCGGCGCGCGGCCGAUGAUACGCUCCUGUGGUCCAACCGUUUUGAGACUGGACCGAGGGAACAACUCCUCCUCUCCCGCUCCCCCGUCAUUCUCGAAAAAAAAAAAUCAGCAGCCGCUGCAGAUCCGGCAGCCCCCUUCCCAUCGUGGCCUCCUCCAGUCAUCUCCGUCCCUUAUGCUCACGCCGGAGCUCCUCCGCCUGAGGAUAACCACGCCGACGACCACCCUGUGUCACCUCUACCUCACUUAGGUCAGGCCAUGCCCCGUCAUCUCCGGCCGCCGCUCAUCGCCCUCCACUUCGAGAGUUCAGGAAAAAAUGGAACCGGUAUGUUGAAAGUCACUUGGUGGUGGCAACCCGGUGUAAUUCGCCUCAACUCCAACUUCUUCGUUUUCACGGAUCUGGGAAAGACCAGCUUCCCCCACUUCUCCUUUUUUACACUAGAUAGGUAG